rnacentral:rRNA from 1 species
UACGAAGGGGGCUAGCGGUGCUCGGAAUUACUGGGCGUAAAGCGCACGUAGGCGGCUUUCUAAGUCGGGGGUGAAAUCCUGGAGCUCAACUCCAGAACUGCCUUCGAUACUGGAGAGCUUGAGUCCGGGAGAGGUGAGUGGAACUGCGAGUGUAGAGGUGAAAUUCGUAGAUAUUCGCAAGAACACCAGUGGCGAAGGCGGCUCACUGGUCCGGUACUGACGCUGAGGUGCGAAAGGGUGGGGAGCAAACAGG